rnacentral:rRNA from 1 species
UAGGGUAUUGACCUAACAUGGCUAUGACGGGUAACGGGGAAUUAGAGUUCGAUUCCGGAGAGGGAGCCUGAGAAAUAGCUACCACAUCUAAGGAAGGCAGCAGGCGCGUAAAUUACCCAAUUCUGAAGAAGAGAGGUAGUGACAAGAAAUAACAAUACAUUAUCGAAGAAUGAUUUUGUAAUUGGAAUGAUAGGGAAUUAUAACAUUUCUAGAGAAACAAUUGGAGGGCAAGUCUGGUGCCAGCAGCCGCGGUAAUUCCAGCUCCAAUAGCAUAUAUUAAAAUUGUUGCAGUUAAAACGUUCGUAGUUGAAUAUUAAAGAAUCCGAUGUUUCAUUUAAACUGGUUUUGGGAAACUACAUAUAUAUAUAUUUAUAUAUAUGGUUUAAUAAGUUUCCCGUAUAAAAUUAUGUUUUUAUCAGAUAUGACAGAGUCUUUUUUAAAAUCUGUUCAUUUAGCUUUUAUUGCUUUUUGGGAGAUUUUGUUACUU